rnacentral:lncRNA from 1 species
CCCAACCCCUGAUCAAAUCAGGGACCAAACCAUCUUGACGAUUAGGUCAACUCUUAACCUAAUCGGGUCAAACCCAACUGAAUCCAAUUCAAUUGGACUUGAUCCAAAAAUAAUUACUCAAUCAAAUUGAGUUAAUUAGUGAUCAAAUCACUAAUUAAACCUCUCAUAAAUACUGAGUCCAAAUUCGAUGGGCAAUCGGGUAUCAAAGUCCAUCGAUAUGAAACCUUGAUCGAAGAGUCCCAAACCAGUGGGACUCUUGACCCCGGUACCCAAAAUGUGUGGAACUCAUGAUCAGAGAAUUCUGAUUCUCGAUUACAGAAUCUCAAACAUGUAGGACUCUUCACCAGCCAUCAGAUCAGAUAGAAACCUCUAAUGUGUGUGACCCCACAGGUUUGAACCUAAGCUGGUAGCACAGGAACCAAUUCCUGUACUAAUCGAAGUGACCAUCUAGCAAUGGUACCCGA